rnacentral:lncRNA from 1 species
AAAUGAGCACAUCCAUUUUGUUAACAUGAAAUUUUGGUUUCAUCUUCCAUAAAUGGUAAAAUUGCAUUAUUGCGAAGAAUUGCUUAAAAAAACAUCUUGUUCUGAUUUAUCAUCAGUAAAUGUUUGAUUUGCGUACCUCUUUUAUCUACCUAGCUUCCCAGGGUCAGACUGAUUUCUUGGGAGAAACAAUAUAGCAAAACAGUAGACGGUUUUGAAGUCCUGAUCUAAAACAAAACACAUAUAAAACAAAACAAAACAAAAUAAAUAAGUCAAAAUGGUGACAAAACAAUGCAAAUUAAUCUGAAAUCUGUAACUGGGAGGAACACACACAAGCAUCCUGUCUCAUGUGGAACACACAUUGGGUAAGUUGUUUGUAGAGAUUCAACUUUAUUUUUCCAGAUGGCUACACUCACUUAUCCUAAACCAUUAGUUGAAUAAUCUAUCUUUUCCACUCUGAUGUGAAAUGACAGUUAUAUUUUUAAAACUAGGCUUUCAUACAAGAUAUUUUCCAAAUAAGCUCAACCUAUCCCAAUGACCCUUAAUAUGCAAGACCUUUAUAUUACUAUCUUUGAAUUUUUGAAGUUCUUUUUUUGGGGGAGACUUUUGCUUAUGACUAGUUUCUAACAGCUAUUGUGAAGCUGUGUCCAAAUAGCAGUCUGGAAAUCACCUAAGCCGGGUGCUUUUGUGGUGUCUCACUGAUGCCACCUCUCUUGGUGUGUUUAAAUUUGAAUCCCAAUUUUGAAAAUGGUGUGCAAAUCACACUUAUUUAACAUAUUUGAAUAAACACCUUCACCCUGUAUCUCUGCCACCAGGCCAAGAAGUGAUGGAUCAGUGACUUCAGAAAGGUGAGUUUUGGUUUGUCAAAGUUGAAGAUAAGACAACACCUAAUAGCUAAUAAGAAAUGGGUGGGGGAUGGGGAAGCAGAUCAAUUCUUAAAAGUCAGGGACAAAAGGUUAAUAGGGUAGCUUUGGUAAUAUAGAUCUGCAGAAGGUUGCCAAGCAGGAUAGCACCAGGGAAUAUACACAUGGUAUGCCAAGUAAGAAUUAAAAGAGGGUCAGGAGGUUUAUGGCUAGUUUGAACAUUUCUAGAAGGUGAAAACAAGCAGCAACAUUAUAUUUCUACCAAGAUAGGAUUCUUUCUAUCCAAUCCAUGGUGCAAUGAUGUCUUCAGGUAAUCUUCAAGUGUCACUUAGCUACUUUUCAUGAUGUCAGCUGGGUGAGCUUCGUGGUCUUUCAGGGUGGAGGGAUAAAUAUAAGUGUCAAUUCAUUGUGCGUCUAAGGUCAAAAU